rnacentral:lncRNA from 1 species
GUGUCUAGAAAAGUAGUUCAGAGACUACAUCUGAAGGAAGGUGGUUAUUUAAUUGGUUCCAUUCACUUAUCUGGCCAACUCAGUUGGUAUUUAAGAAAAGCAACUGGGGGACCUCCAUCAAUCUUAUACUUAUCUGAUCAGUUGAGUGGCUAGUCUUUUACUUAGAGUGCUCAAAGAUAACCUUGGUAGUUAGGAGCUAUCUAGAUCUAGGAUUACCCUC